AAUUCCCAAAAAAUAAUAAAAUAAAUAAAUAAAUAACAAUGGCUCACAAUUCUUGGCAGUCCUUAAACUCAUGCACUCUCCAGCUCCAUUCAUGGAGACCCUUUCUCGAUUCCGAUCCCACCACCAGCUAUAAACCCCACGCCUCUUCGUCCACUCUCACUAAACGCCCUUGCCUUUCCGAUAGCUCCACUUCUUUCCCUUCCAACGUCGAUUCCAUCGACCUUUCCAAGCUCACUCUCCUUGAAGAUGACCAUAACAACACCAACAAUAAACCCGUCCCCGCUGUUACCAGCAGACCCUACAAGCGAGGCACCUUACGCCUUAUCAAGCGCAAGAGGCGGCGGAGAGGAUCCCGUUCUAUGUCCGGCCGGAGCUCCGACAGAAGUGGGACCCGGCGGUGCUGCUCGGUUGGCGCGGCGUCUGCGGCUCAUGGGACUUGCUCGGAUUUCCAUGUGGCGGUGGGGACGGACUCGAGUGGGGAGCUGUUUGUGAAUGGGGACGCGAAUUGGGCGUCCGAUGUCAAUCAAGCAAAGAAUUCGGUAAAAGAAAGGGAGGAGAAAGAGAAUUUGUUGGGAGUGGGUAAUGUUAUUGGGAAUUUGGAUAGUGAGUCUGGAUAUGGGAGUGAGCCUGGGUAUAGAGGGGAUGCUGAGUUUGGUUACGGAGAUGAGGUUGAUGAGGAAGAGGAUGAUGCCAGGUUGUUGUUUUGGGGACACCACUUUCAAGAUUCUAAGAUGGAAAUGGUUGGAGAGAACACAUUUGAUUCAAAAACCCAUCACAGAUGUCGUCGCAAGAAGCAUGAUUGUAGUAGAAUGGUUCAUCCUGUGAGAUAACUUUCCCGGUUGCUGGUAAAUAGGAGGAGGAAGCGACCUUCUUUUACUUAAGAAAUACAUUUAUGUCUUGCAGCCCUCUGCUUUCAAUUCCUCCUCUUUUUGUGACAUGUUUUAGAGUCUCACAAGAUUUUGUUAUUUUAAAAUGAAGGAAUUCUCAAGUAGUUUUUCAGCAAUUUUCAAUGCGAAGAAAAGCACCCUUUGAUUGCAUGAGGGCAGAAAUUGAAAUCACAGAUGGUAAAUGUCUUAUAAGGGGUUAAGCGGUAUUUCUGCGCGAGGAAUACCGUACGGGGAUAUCAUUACGGUCUUUCUCAGAAGAAGUAAGUUGUUCAUGUGGUUUUUUUCGUUUAUAUUGUUGGAAUUAUCUCUAUUAAUGGUUUUAUUGUAUAGUGAGGUAAAAUAUACUGAUUUUAUUAUUCCAACAAAA